GCGUGUCAACUUCCUAUUGGGGGCGGAGUUGGGACGACGUCGCAUGCUCCCGGCCGGAUUAGAGUUUGAUCCUGGCUCAGGACGAACGCUGGCGGCGUGCCUAAUACAUGCAAGUCGAGCGAACAGAAGGGAGCUUGCUCCCGGAUGUUAGCGGCGGACGGGUGAGUAACACGUGGGUAACCUGCCUGUAAGACUGGGAUAACUCCGGGAAACCGGAGCUAAUACCGGAUAGUUCCUUGAACCGCAUGGUCCAAGGAUGAAAGACGGUUUCGGCUGUCACUUACAGAUGGACCCGCGGCGCAUUAGCUAGUUGGUGGGGUAAUGGCUCACCAAGGCGACGAUGCGUAGCCGACCUGAGAGGGUGAUCGGCCACACUGGGGCUGAGACACGGCCCAGACUCCUACGGGAGGCAGCAGUAGGGAAUCUUCCGCAAUGGACGAAAGUCUGACGGAGCAACGCCGCGUGAGUGAUGAUUGUUUUCGGAUCCCAAAGCUCUGUUGUUAGGGAAGAACAAGAGGGAGAGGAGCUGCUCGCACCUUGACGGUACGUAACCAGAAAGCCACGGCUAACUACGUGCCAGCUGCCGCGGUAAUACGUAGGUGGCAAGCGUUGUCCGGGAUUAUUGGGCGUAAAGGGCUCGCAGGCGGUUUCUUAAGUCUGAUGUGAAAGCCCCCGGCUCAACCGGGGAGGGUCAUUGGAGACUGGGAAACUUGAGUGCAGAAGAGGAGAGUGGAAUUCCACGUGUAGCGGUGAAAUGCUUAGAGAUGUGGAGGAACACCAGUGGCGAAUGCGACUCUCUGGUCUGUAACUGACGCUGAGGAGCGAAAGCGUGGGGAGCGACAGGAUUAGAUACCCUGGUAGUCCACGCCGUAAACGAUGAGUGCUAAGUGUUAGGGGGGUUUCCGCCCCUUAGUGCUGCAGCUAACGCAUUAAGCACUCCGCCUGGGGAGUACGGUCGCAAGACUGAAACUCAAAGGAAUUGACGGGGGCCCGCACAAGCGGUGGAGCAUGUGGUUUAAUUCGAAGCAACGCGAAGAACCUUACCAGGUCUUGACAUCCUCUGACAACCCUAGAGAUAGGGCUUUCCCUUCGGGGACAGAGUGACAGGUGGUGCAUGCCAGUCGUCAGCUCGUGUCGCGACAUGUUGGGUUAAGUCCCGCAACGAGCGCAGCCCUUGAUCUUAGUUGCCAGCAUUUAGUUGGGCACUCUAAGGUGACUGCCGGUGACAAACCGGAGGAAGGUGGGGAUGACGUCAAAUCAUCAUGCCCCUUAUGACCUGGGCUACACACGUGCUACAAUGGACAGAACAAAGGGUUGCGAGACCGCAAGGUUUAGCCAAUCCCAUAAAUCUGUUCUCAGUUCGGAUCGCAGUCUGCAACUCGACUGCGUGAAGCUGGAAUCGCUAGUAAUCGCGGAUCAGCAUGCCGCGGUGAAUACGUUCCCGGGCCUUGUACACACCGCCCGUCACACCACGAGAGUUUGUAACACCCGAAGUCGGUGAGGUAACCUUUAUGGAGCCAGCCGCCGAAGGUGGGACAGAUGAUUGGGGUGAAGUCGUAACAAGGUAACCAAUCACUAGU
rnacentral:rRNA from 2 species